UAAGUAUAGCAUUAUACCGUGAAACUGCGAAUGGCUCAUUAAAUCAGUUAUCGUUUAUUUGAUAGUACCUUACUACUUGGAUAUCCGUGGUAAUUCUAGAGCUAAUACAUGCGUAAAUCCCCGACUUCGGAAGGGGUGUAUUUAUUAGAUAAAAAAACCAAUGCCCUUCGGGGCUUUUUGGUGAUUCAGAAUAACUUUUCAGAUCGCAUGGCCUUGCGCCGGCGACGGUUCAUUCAAAUUUCUGCCCUAUCAACUUUCGAUGGUAAGGUAUUGGCUUACCAUGGUUUCAACGGGUAACGGGAGAUUAGGGUUUGACUCCGGAGAGGGAGCCUGAGAAACGGCUACCACAUCCAAGGAAGGCAGCAGGCGCGCAAAUUACCCAAUCCCGACACGGGGAGGUAGUGACAAUAAAUACUGAUACAGGGCUCUUUUGGGUCUUGUAAUUGGAAUGAGUACAAUUUAAACCUCUUAACGAGGAACAAUUGGAGGGCAAGUCUGGUGCCAGCAGCCGCGGUAAUUCCAGCUCCAAUAGCGUAUAUUAAAGUUGUUGCAGUUAAAAAGCUCGUAGUUGAAGCUUGGGUCUGGCUGGCAGGUCCGCCUCACCGCGUGUACUUGACCGGCCGGGCCUUUCCUCCUGGAGAAUCUCAUGCCCUUCACUGGGCGUGCUGGGGAUCCAGGACUUUUACUUUGAAAAAAUUAGAGUGUUCAAAGCAGGCCUUUGCUCGAAUACGUUAGCAUGGAAUAAUAGAAUAGGACGGCAGUCUUAUUUUGUUGGUUUCUAAGACCGCCGUAAUGAUUAAUAGGGACAGUCGGGGGCAUUAGUAUUCAAUAGUCAGAGGUGAAAUUCUUGGAUCUAUUGAAGACUAACUACUGCGAAAGCAUUUGCCAAGGAUGUUUUCAUUAAUCAGUGAACGAAAGUUAGGGGAUCGAAGACGAUCAGAUACCGUCGUAGUCUUAACCGUAAACUGUGCCGACUAGGGAUCGGGCGAUGUUUCUAUCUUGACUCGCUCGGCACCUUACGAGAAAUCAAAGU
rnacentral:rRNA from 1 species